AGCAGCAGAGAGCAGAUCAGCUAGCUGGCUUCAAUGCAGGGAAGAAAAUCAGGUGUUGGCAACAAAGAGGUUGGAGGAGGAGAGAGACGUGUAUCUCCAAGGACACAUACCACCCAGCAGAUCAAAACACCCAGAGGACAUGAUUGAUGGGAAGCCACGCUAGCUAGCUGCUGUAUGGUUGAGGCUAUGGCACAAAGGACCACUCUAAUGUUGACCCAUGGAAAGGAGCUGUCAGGAGAUUGGAAGCGGUCUAGUGUGGGCCAAUGGGAAUGGGAUCUGUCUGGAGAGGCUUGUCAAGGAACCAGGCUUGCGUCUGGAUGGCAAUGGGACAAGGGGACAUCUGGACCAGUCGAAUACUGACUUUUUCUGUCCAGACCAACACCAGUCAUCUUAAAAGCCCACCCCUUCUCCCCGUGUCAUCGAUGGCCAUCCGGCAUACACAGUGAGAUGCCUCCUGAGUGUUCGACCACGUGGCAGGGGUUUCCAGUACCUGGUUGACUGGGAGGGUUAUGGACCGGACGAGAGGUGCUGGGCUUUGUAUGCAUUGCGGAAGUUAGAGUAGCAGUGAUCAAGUGUAUUACCCCAGUGAGUACUGUAAUCAAUAUGCUGAUAGAAUUUAGGUAGCCUUGUUCUCAAAUUUGCUUUGACAAAAUUCCCAGCCACAAUAAAUGCAGCCUCAGGAUAUAUGGUUUCCAGUUUACAUAGAGUCCAGUGAAGUUCCUUGAGGGCCGUUGUGGUGUCUGCUUGAGGGGGAAUGUACACAGCUGUGAUGAUAACCAACGAGAAUUCUCUUGGGAGGUAAUAUGGUCGGCAUUUGGCUGUAAGGAAUUCUAGGUUGGGUGAGCAGAAGGACUUGAGUUCCUGGAUGUUGUUAUGAUUACACCAUGAGUCGUUAAUCAUGAAGCAUACACAGAGAGGUGUUCAUCUCUGUCAGCGCGAUGCAUGGAGAAGCCCGGUGGCUAAACCGAUUCCGACAACAUAUCCGAGAGAGCCAUGUUUCCGUGAAACAGAGAAUGUUACAAUCUCUGGUGUCUUUCUGGAAGGCAACCCAUGCUUGAAUUUCGCCUGCCUUCUUGUCAAGAGACUGGACAUUGGCGAGUAGUAUACUCAGGAGCGGUGAGCGAUGUGCAUGUCUACGGAGCCUGACCAGGAGGCAUCUCUGUCUGCACCGUUGUUCUGAGUCGGCUUCUGGGAUUAGAUCCAUUGUCCUGGGUGGUAGUCUAAACAGAGGAUCCACUUCGGGAAAGUCGUAUUCCUGGUCGUAAUGUUGGUAAGUUGACGUUGCUCUUAUAUCCAAUAGUUCUUCCCGGCAGUAUGUA
ensembl:lncRNA